rnacentral:rRNA from 1 species
AGAAUCAACGCUGGCGGCGUGCCUAACACAUGCAAGUCGCACGAGAAAGGGGCUUCGGCCCUGAGUAAAGUGGCGCACGGGUGAGUAACACGUGAAUAAUCUACCUCCGAGUGGGGAAUAACUGAGAGAAAUCUUAGCUAAUACCGCAUAACACUUACGAGUCAAAGCAGCAAUGCGCUUGGAGAGGAGUUCGCGGCAGAUUAGUUAGUUGGCGGGGUAAUGGCCCACCAAGACGAUGAUCUGUA